CAAGUGUGCAGGAUAAAAAGUGACAGCCCAAGGAAGAGAUUUGUGGAUCCGCCUGGAAUGGGGGCAGGUUCACCUGAAGAACUGGCAAGUCAACCUGGUGUGAAUGAACGCCAGGCUGUCUGUCGGUUAUCCAGGCCAGCUCACAGAAGGCUUCAGUUUCAGUGCAGGGUCCUAUUUCACUGCAUUUUUGGGGACAGUUCCCUGAUGUGUCCAUAAGUUGGGCUUUGGGACUGUCCCACCUAA